rnacentral:rRNA from 1 species
UACAGAGGGUGCGAGCGUUGUCCGGAAUCACUGGGCGUAAAGGGCGCGUAGGCGGUCUGUCGCGUCGGUCGUGAAAACUUGGGGCUUAACCCUGAGCUUGCGGUCGAUACGGGCAUGACUGGAGUUCGGCAGGGGAGACUGGAAUUCCUGGUGUAGCGGUGAAAUGCGCAGAUAUCAGGAGGAACACCGGUGGCGAAGGCGGGUCUCUGGGCCGAUACUGACGCUGAGGAGCGAAAGCGUGGGGAGCGAACAGG